rnacentral:lncRNA from 1 species
AAGGGUACCUUAGCAGGAGCCAAAUGUGGGUCACUGAUGCCUGGAACCUGUUUCCUAAGAAGUGAUGUUGUGUCCUCACCUCCACUCAGGCUGUCUCUGGCCCUUCUCCCCAGCCCAUCAUGGCCCCGAAACACCCUUGCCCACAUGCGCACCUGCACACAGGUGCGUGCACACACACACACACACACACACACUCACUUACUCUGAGACUAUCUAUGUUGGAGGAACUCCCAGUCCCCUGCCCCCGGCAGCAGGGGAUCGCAAGCUCGUCCUCCCUGAGCACCUGGCCUCGUGGCUUCUGAAAAUGCACAUUCACGGCUCCACGAUGUCACUCACCUCUUCCCCAGGUAGGGGGUCACCCACAGGCCACCCGUCCCUGGCAGGUGCCACACCCUUCCCUGGGAAGGAAGUGCAGUCCUUCCCGCUGUGUUAGCGGGCCCACCAGCAUCUGUGCCUCCAUCUGGCCACCGCCUUGGGGUUGUGCCAUCAACUCUAAGACCCACCUUUUUCUACCAUCUAUCCAGUCCCUUUGCUGCAAACCCACUCCUUGAAAUAAACCAGCCUUUGCCCCCAGGGCCACUGGGCCACGCUCUUCCAGGCCUUUCACACUGAACUUGGUGCCCACAGCCCACAGGGGCCAUCCUCACAGGAUGGCCAGCCUGGCUGCUGCCCUGGGAGGAGCCCCCUCGCCCCUGCCUCCGUGGCUCAUGUUCCACAGCACCCACAUCUGUCUCGUGAGCCCGUGGCCGUGGCAGCUGCGUUUGUGCCCCAGAGGUUGACUUGUCCGGCUUCUUCUGGCUCAGCAGACUUCUUACACGCCCCUGCCCCCAUCAGACCCCGCCCCCGACCACGCCCAUGGGUCCCCCUCAUAUCACCCUCUCACCUUUCCCUCUGCCUCCCCUCUCGCCCCACGGGCACAGCCCGUCCCAGAGACACAAGGACGUGUAUCACAUCAUGAGUCGCAUGACUUAAUGACAGGCCGGAGCCAUCGCUGCGCCUGGGGCCAGGGCCGCCCUACUUGCAGAGACCUGGAACGCUGACACCACCCGGGUCAGAGGCCACGCUCCUCAAAUCGCUUCUGCUCCAUCUUCUUUACCUUUGCGACGUUGUCCCACGUUUGCUGCCUUUUCCCCAAAAAGUUCCGCAAAGCCCGCUCACCUGGCUCCAGGAGAGGCCUGGGGCACCUGGCAUCGGGACUCAAGCCCGGUGUUUGGGGGCCGAGGCGGGAGGUGGAGGCAGCCAGAGCUGCGAUGUGGGUUCCUCAGAGGAGCCGGCCCCGGGCCAAGCAGCCCCCUUAGCCUGACCCUCUCUGGGCUCCCGAGAGGCACACCGGCCAGUCCUGCGGUUAAACACCCACCUGCCCGGAGGUUUUUCAGGGACUGCCCAUUAGUCACUAAGUAUCACUCGUUACCGAGCCCACGUUAUAACCAGUGCAUUGAAGGAUUCUGAUUAUCAGGUGGUGGAGAGAUUUGCAGCUGGGCUUCACCGUCCACACGUUUCAAAGUUCCCCUUCGGCGGGUGGACAGACAGCACCUGGGAGCGGCAAGACGUCCUUCCAUCAUGUACGAAUCAGUCCUCAGCAGUCCUGUCAGGCUAACGUCAGCAGGACUGUAUUUUAGAGCUGGGUUUUCUGAGCCCGUAGCACCUUACUGGAGAAGGUUCCCUCCUGAACCCAGGGAUGCCUUGGGCGGACUGUAGUCCACACAGCUCGGGACCCUUUCUGCUCGUUUCCGCCGGCCGCGGGAAUUCGCCGUCUAUUCGCAUGGUGAGAAGCUUCAAGUCUAACAGGAAAAAUGGGUGAAAACCAAAUGCUUCCUUUUCUGUUCUAUGUGUUUAUAUUUUGUUCCUCUAUUAAACAGAAAUAUUCUGUUAGUGACACUAAGCGUAUUCGAGGAGUAUACCAUACGCAUUCUUUUAUAGGGUAGGAAGUUUUUAUUAUCCCCUUAACCGUGAAGUUAAACUAUAUCGAUACAAAGAAAACCAGGCCUUCUAUUAAUGCAUGCCUUUUUUUUUUUUUUGUCAUGGAUACUCUUAAAUUUAUUCCUGGGUAUUUUAAUGUUUUGAAUUAUCAUUAGGAAUGUGUUUUCAAUCUUAGUCAAAUUGGUGUGGUUUGUAAAUACAAAUGCUACUAAUCUAAACAUCUAUUUAAAAU